AACAUUCAUACCUAUUUUUUUAAAACUAUUUGAAGAAAGAUUUAAUUGCAGUUUGUUCACAUACAGCUGGUGUGACAUUAAGAAGGGAAAAAAAGUAGCUGUAAUCAAACUUUUAGAUAUUUUUCUUAAUAUUGUAAUUUAUUACUGUAUACUGCUUAGCUUCUUAUUUACAGUAGUAUCACAAGAUUCAGUAAGCAAAACCAUUAAAGAAAUCAUUUUGAAAUAUUUCUUGAUACAUUAUAUGCAUUUUAUCACCAAUCAAUGAGAUUAACCCUCCAAAAUCAAUGAGAUUAACCUGAGACUGGUAAUGGUAAACGUAUUGAAAUAUUUAAAAAUUGAUAUUUUGUGAUUUAUUGGUAAAAGAUAUUACGUUUUUCUCAUUCAUAUACAAUUAUUAGUAUUUUCUGUUUUUGUAAAAAAAUAUACAGUUCAUUAGAAUUGCAUAAGUUGUUUAUAUAGAAUAAAAUGCAAACUCUUUGUCAAGUUUUUCAUAGCUCACCACUGCAUGUAAUCCACAAACAGGAUAGGUCUACAAAUUACAUUAGUAGCAAAUAUGUGUUCUAUAACCAAACAUAGGGAAGAUUUUGCAAUGUUGAUUACAACUAAAACCAUAUUAUUUACAGAUGCUGCAAUAUAAAUUUUGCAAUCGUAUGCAUGGAAGACAAUUCUUCCACUAUCUAGUGGUGAAGCAUUUGUUGGAUAGGUACGUUUGUGUACUGGACAUGGAAAAUUGUCAUGCUGUUACUGAAUAGAAAUUAUAUUUACUUGAACAUUUUAUAUGCCAUUUCACUGAUAAAGGUACAUGGGUCCUUUUUUUCUACAGAAACACUGUAAAAGAAGAUGACUCAAUGUUGUUCAGAUGACCAUGAGAUCAUUGACCAUACACUCCGUAAUCUUUUGCUUUUGGAAUGUGCUUUAGACUAUAUUUAUAUGCUCCUAUUGCUAAUAAUAUCAAAACUCCAAGACUGCAUUAUAGCUCCUUUGAUGACCAUCAGCAGGGAAAUUUUACUAUGUUUGUGAAUAGAAUUGUGAUACCCGGUCGAUAUGUGUCCUGUACCAACAGGAACACACAAUGACCUUUAUGGUAUUAUGUCAAAUUUGAUGAACUUUUAUUUCAUUUCAUGUAGUAAUCAUUUUUUAUCUGUAAUAUGUUACAGAAUAAAACAUUUUAAAACUUACAAA
rnacentral:lncRNA from 1 species